rnacentral:rRNA from 1 species
CGGGUGAGUAACACGUAUCCAACCUGCCGUCUACUCUUGGACAGCCUUCUGAAAGGAAGAUUAAUACAAGAUGGCAUCAUGAGUCCGCAUGUUCACAUGAUUAAAGGUAUUCCGGUAGACGAUGGGGAUGCGUUCCAUUAGAUAGUAGGCGGGGUAACGGCCCACCUAGUCUUCGAUGGAUAGGAGUUCUGAGAGGAAGGUCCCCCACAUUGGAACUGAGACACGGUCCAA